rnacentral:rRNA from 1 species
CAGCCGCCGCGGGAAAACGUAGGUGGCAAGCGUUGUCCGGAAUUAUUGGGCGUAAAGGGCUCACAGGCGGUUUCUUAAGUCUGAUGUGAAAGCCCCCGGCUCAACCGGGGAGGGCCAUUGGAAACUGGGAAACUUGAGUGCAGAAGAGGAGAGUGGAAUUCCACGUGUAGCGGUGAAAUGCGUAGAGAUGUGGAGGAACACCAGUGGCGAAGGCGACUCUCUGGUCUGUAACUGACGCUGAGGAGCGAAAGCGUGGGGAGCGAACAGGAUUAGAUACCCCGGUAGUCCCUGUCUCUUAUAC